rnacentral:rRNA from 1 species
UAAGUUUGAUUCUAGCUAAAUAUUAAUUAUUUAAAUUCAUUAUAUGUAUAAACCAUAAAUUAAAAUAAAUUAAAACUAAAACAGUAACUAAAAUUAAAAUUUAAUAAAAAGUUUAAUUAGAAAUUUAAGCCAUAAUUGAAUUAUAUCUGUGCCAGCAUUCGCGGUUAAACAGUUAAUUAAUUUUAAUAAAUUUGGUAAAUCAAAGAUAAAAAUAAAGUAAUGAUUAAGUAAAAUUUUUCAUUAUAUAUAAAUUCCUUAUAAAAAAGAUGAAAGUAAAAUAAAAACUAGGAUUAGAUACCCUAUUAUAAUUUCCGUAAAACCAAUUACCGAAAAGUAACAGAUAAGUUCUUCUAAAACUCAAAGAAUUUGGCGGUAAUCUAUCUAAUUAGAGGAACCUGUAUUAUAAAUUGAUAAACCACAAUAGUACUUACCUAAAGUAAAUAUUUGUAUACCUCUAUAAAGGGUAUAUCAAAAGAUUAUACCCAUUAUUUUAUAAAAAUAAUUUUAGGUCAAGGUGCAGUUUUAUUUAGGAAAAUAUGGGUUACUUUAAUAAUAAAAAAAAUUUUAAAACCUAAUACGAAUAUAAAUAAAACAGGAUUUAAAAGUAACUUAAAUUAAUUAACUUAAAUGAAAAAGAAAUAAAUUAUGCACAUAUUGCCCGUCACUCUCAAUAAAAUGAGAUAAGUCGUAACAAAGUAGACUUACUGGAAAGUGAGUCUAGAAAGUACUUUUUC